rnacentral:rRNA from 1 species
UACGUAGGGUGCGAGCGUUGUCCGGAAUUAUUGGGCGUAAAGAGCUCGUAGGCGGUCUGUCGCGUCGGUCGUGAAAACUUGGGGCUUAACCCUGAGCUUGCGGUCGAUACGGGCAGACUGGAGGUAUGCAGGGGAGAACGGAAUUCCUGGUGUAGCGGUGAAAUGCGCAGAUAUCAGGAGGAACACCGGUGGCGAAGGCGGUUCUCUGGGAAUGUCCUGACGCUGAGGAGCGAAAGUGUGGGGAGCGAACAGG